UGUGUGUGUGUGUGUGUGUGUGUGUGUGUAAGCUCUGCGGCCAGACUGAGGUCCACUAAGUGAGGUAACCUUAAGCACACAGGCUCACAACACCCAGGGUGUGCUGCUGCUGCGGGAACCCUGGCUGGCCUGACACUCCGCAGGCACACACACACACACACGCACACGCACGCACGCAGGGCAGUUCCCUGUGCCGCUCCUGGAAAAUAAUGACUUGGAGAAGGAACAGUUAAUAAGAAAAUGUGCCUCGCUAACCGUGCACAGAACAACAAAGAGCUGGCAGCCCCUGAAGGAAAAGGGCUUGUGCGGCUGCCGUUCAAACUUGUCAGUCAACUGGUGCCAGCAGCCUCAGCGUCUGCCUCCCCAGCACACCCUCAUUACAUGUGUCUGUCUGGCCUCAUCUGUGCCUCGGCUCAGAGGCGCUCCUGACAAGCCGGGAUUCUCUUCCUCUCUCCCGGGUGCAAAGAGCAGAUUUCUCUCCGUGUCUCUUCUGUCACCUCUAGCUCCGCUCCCCAAGGAGGCACCUUGAUUUAUGGUAGCUUGGGACUUCCUUCGGCGUCUGCCUGUCCUUGACUUCUAGAAUGGAAGAAGCUGAGCUGGUGAAGGGAAGACUCCAGGCCAUCACAGAUAAAAGAAAAAUCCAGGAAGAAAUCUCACAAAAGCGUCUGAAAAUAGAGGAGGAAAAAUCGAAACACCAACAUCUAAAGAAAAAAGCCUUGAGGGAGAAAUGGCUCCUGGAUGGAAUCAGCAGUGGAAAAGAACAGGAAGAGAUGAAGAAGCAAAAUCAGCAAGACCAGCACCAGACCCAGGUUCUAGAGCAAAGCAUCCUCAGGCUUGAGAAAGAGAUCCAAGACCUUGAAAGGGCUGAACUGCAAAUCUCAGCCAAUGAAGAGGCAAUUCUAAAGAAGCUAAAAUCGAUCGAGAGGACUACUGAAGACAUAAUAAGAUCUGUGAAAGUGGAAAAGGAAGAAAUCCCAGAAGAGUCAAUUGAGGACAUCUAUGCUAACAUCCCUGACCUUCCAAGUUCCUACAUACCUUCCAGAUUAAGAAAGGAAAGAAACGAAGGACAAGAUGAUGAUGAACAGAACAGAAAAGCUUUGUAUGCCAUGGAAAUUAAAGUUGAAAAAGACUUGAAGACUGGAGAAAGCGUUGUUCUAUCUUCAAUCCCCCUCCCAUCAGAUGACUUUAAAAGCGCAGGAAUAAAGGUCUACGACGAUGGGCAGAAGUCAGUCUACGCAGUCAGCUCCGAUCAGAACACAAGCUACAACGGCACCGACGGCCUCGCACCGGUGGAAGUGGAGGAUCUCCUGAGACAAGCCUCAGAGAGGAACUCUAAGUCACCCACGGAGUACCAUGAGCCCGUGUAUGCCAAUCCGUUUUGCAGGCCUGUGACCCCGCAAAGAGAGAGAGUAAGCCCUGGACCAAACUUUCAAGAAAGGAUAAUGAUGAAAGCUAACGGACUGGGUAACCAUGCAAAUGAACCCAUGCACAAUACUAACGAUGCGCUUUCAGAGGGGAGAAGCAAUGGGGCCCCUCACACCAGCCCGACUCGGCCAAUACCUCAGCCGCGAGCAUCGGUUCAGCCCGCAGAAGAGAUGGUCCACACCCGGCAAAAGAGGAUGGUGACUCCUUGGGAAGAGUCGAACAUGGGGCAGAGCGAACAUGAGAUUUCUCCGAGGACGGGACUGAGCCCCCGCAGAGCAAGCCCUGGGAAGUCAGGACCCCAGGGUUCUUCACCCACUUGCCAGGAGGAGGCUGAAGAUGUAAGAUACAACAUCGUUCAUUCUCUGCCUUCUGAUGUGGACAACACAGAACCCGUAACGAUGAUUUUCAUGGGGUACCAGCAGGCAGAUGAUAAUGAAGAGGAAAAGAAGCUUUUGACAGGGUAUGACGGGGUCAUCCAUGCUGAGCUGGUCGUGAUUGAUGACGAGGGGGAGGAGGAGGAUGACGGACAAGCUGAGAAGCCAUCCUACCAUCCCGUAGCUCCCUGUAGUCAAGUUUACCAGCCAACCAAACCAACCCCACUUCCUAGAAAGAGAUCGGAAGUUAGUCCUCAUGAAAACACAAACCAUAAAUCUCCCCACAAAAAUUCCAUAUCUCUGAAAGAGCAAGAGGAACGCUUAGGCAGCCCUGCCGGCCACUCUCCCCUGGGUGUUCCAAUGGCUGGAGAUGGGACUGAGGAUCCAUCCUUAACAGGUAAUAAAAAUGACAAGGCAUGCCACUGCUGUUUACUCAUGUGACAGUCUUCUCUGUGUUAAUGAGCAUUCUGACUUUCAGCUUCUAUGACCACCUCAUAAACUAAUAUGCGCUGACAGCUUUUAAUAACGCUGAAUUAUCAUCAGAGCAAAGUAAGUCACUUCAAAAAUAACGAAAGUGAAAACUGUGUCUUGCUUUGUUUUAAUAUUGCAUUGACCGCCCUUAGUUACUGGAAAUGUGUCUUCUGUGAGGGAGCAAUACCAUAUGUGAAUAACUGGGGAUGCUAAUUAACGUCCUGAUCAUCAGAAGCAUACUUUUCCCAGCAGAAUCCAAUGAUGACUACUUGCCUGUGCCUCCUGUGACUUACACUUUAUUCAUAAGUUAACAAGUAGCCUUAAUUUUGCAAAGAAAUAGAGAACAUGUACUAUUUUCUUCUCAUUUUAUUACUCAGCUAUAUCUCCUUUCUCUAUACUUUUAUUUUAUUAACUUUGGUUCUUUAAUUUUCUACACUUUAAACAUAGAAUGACAUUUUAUCUUGCAUUAUCUAUGACUCAACUUUUCAUGGUCUUCUCCAACUUAGCAGAUUUAUUUUUUCUAUUUUCUAUAUAGCUACAUUUCUCAUUCUCUAUGAAGUUUUUAUAGCUUUGUAUCUCUUUAGCUAUCUCAACAUUGAAUGAAAAGUAACUGUAACACUUUUUCUACAAACCGACAGCUCCUCAAUUUUAAAUUCCUUGUUAUCGCUCGAAUAUAGCAAAUGACAAAAACAAUUAGAAUAACUGAGCAAACCCUAGCUAAAAAUCUAAGUCAAAUUACACAAAUACACAGGUUCUAAAUGUUAAAAAUGGAAAGUAAUUUUAAAUGUUGCUAAUUGAAGAAUGAUCAUUAAAAAGCAAUAACUACUCAGUAGCAGACAGCCCAGUGAGUAUAACUUGAUAGUUUUAUAGAAGCGUGGCAGAAAUUCAAGAUGUUUCUUCCUCAUCAAACCAUAAACUCAAUCUUGUGUUGCUAACAACACAGUAAUAGGGACAUUCUUCCAUUCUUCUAAAUCCUUGAAUUAGGUGAACCCAUUGUGAGUUUAAUCAUCUGAAGAAUUCCUCCCCUCUUGAGAAGUGUCCACUCAUAUAUCUUCCUCAGACUGUGGAGUAAUGUUCCCCACAAUGGAAAGCUGCAGAUAGUAAGUUCCUUUCCAUUUAGAGAAUGAGCUUUGUUUACAGUCAAAUGUUUCCUUUGAAAUUCAUUCUUAAAACAAUGCAUGAGGCAUAGAGAAAAGGAACGCCCUAUUUUAUGGUCAGUUACAAAGACAUGAACCACUGUAAAAAACAAAAGCAAAAACUCCCUUUUUGAUCUUGGAUAUUAGCCAGCUCCUCCCAAACACCCUUACUCCUUCUCCCCUAAACACAUUAACAUUUACCCCUAGAAAAAUGACAGGAAGUGACUAACAUUUACAGACAACACUAACCAUGCUACUGAACUAAAAUUAGGAAAACUUAUGCCAGACAAAGUAACAAUACAAAGUCUUGUACUAGCAAACUAAAUAUCUCGUAAAGAGAAUGCUCCAGAUUCCUUACAUUUCAUUGUGACGUUGUUUUACGUCUCGGCCUUCCAAAUCAUCACAUGGAUUAGAGUGGAGGUGUUUAGUAUGGGUGAGUUUUACAAAAGUCAAUCAUAUUAUGCUUUCAAGGACCAUCUACAUACAUUAAGAACAUAGCUACCUAUGUACUUCAAUUUCACAAGUACGUUUUACAUUGUGCUUUCAACAUUACACACACACAUCCAUACACACAGAGAGAAAUGAUACAAUACUUAAAAACCCACAAUUAAGUCAAUUCCAUUAUUAAAGUACAAAUAUCCUAUUAAAUGCUAAUAGCUCUGGUAGAUACAAUAAUAAGGAAUUAUCUUUUCACUUGUUAUACAUAUAGUUAUCAAAAUCUUGUCUCAAAAGCAAUUCGUGGGGAUGGGAAGAUAGUUCAGUGGGUAAGAGCACUUGGUCUAUAAAAUAAGGGCAUGAGUUUGGUUCCAUCCACCCACGGAAAAAGCCGGCCACGGGUGCGCAUGCCUGAACCCCACCACUGCAGCAGAGGCAGGCAGAUCCCAGGACCCUGCUGGCCACCCAGCCUAGCCAAAACUGUGAUUUCUGAUUCAGGGAGGGACCCUGUCCCAAGGCAACAAGGCAUGGAGUGAUAGAGGCAGACACCUGAGGUCCUGCUUUGGCCUCCUGUACACACCAGUGCAUGCAUCACACACACACACACACACACACACACACACACACACACACACACACACACACGCAGUUUUUAACUGGAAAAACUAUAUGUAGAUGGAAGAAAGAUGAAAACUUGCCAAUGUGGAUAGUCUAAAAACAGUAUAUUUUAGUAAAAAUUUGAACACUGUUAAACAUGACAGAAAAACUUAGGUAAUCUUAUGUCUAUCUACUUGAUAUGGUCCAGACGCACUCACUAUUGUGUGGCUUCCAAAAGCUUUCCAUGAGAUCCCACUAACCCCAACGACAGCAACUAGACAGCUAAGCUUUCUUCAGUAGACCUCACACACCUAGUCUUGUUCCAGCUCAAUAUUCUAUGGUCUUAGAGAUGUCAAUGGCACUUUGGGAUGAAGAGGUAGAAAAACCUUAGCUCUGGAGCCCUCACACACCAUCGAUUCAGAAACCGCCAGUAGAGGUCAAGGAAGAAGACGGAGGGUGAACCACAAAUCUCUCUUCCACCAAGUUUAAACAGCUAAAAGUGUCUGUCUGUGUGGCUGUAGGGAAACAGGACUGGGAUUCAGACAAGAGCAGGAAAGAGGGGCAAGAGAACCAAUGGGACAGUGUUUGGGGAGCCGCUCCUUGCACACACCUCCAGCUGCAGUUAGGGCUAUUGCCACAGGCUUGGAAAAGGGAAUGCUGGUGCUAGCUGACUUCACUGCAGGUCCUGGGACACAGGGUGGUCUCUAUUUCCAGACUCGCAAGAUGAGACGUACCUAUAGGGAAGAGGAUUUUUGUCCCUGCCUUAAAACAGACCUUUAAACAAUCCCUUAUCCCUGCUCUCUCCCGGCACUGGUAAUGCAAGGGGCCACAAAACCCAAGAGCAGCCCUUCCUGAAGCCUUGCCUGCUGCCUGUUCUGCUGUGGGACUUCGGGCUGCUUGCUCCUCAGAGGUCACCACCCAGCAGCUCCCAGCAACAGAGCCCAUCCUGCUGACUGAGCAAAGGAAAUUCUCUCAACACAUCCUGAAGUCAAAGGAAUAUUCUUGGUCUUGCCGUUAGAAGUGAUCAUUCCUCUUCUCUUCCAAGGGAAAAAAACAAUGCUUUUUACUUUCCUUGAAAUGAAACUAUGUCACAGACAUAUGAAAAUGACCUCAAAACAGUAGCAGGUCCCCAUCUCUUCUUAGGUUUUUGUAAAAAGCCUCUUAGAGAUAGGAUCAUUUCUUUGGUUAAUAGGUAAUAAUGUGUGACAUAGAGAUGGGAAAAAAAAACAUGUCUUCCCUUUUAUUGUUUCAUUAAAACAAAAUUGUGCAAUUAGUUAAAUGGCUGCUUCUUGGGCCAUUUUACACAUGAAUGUAAUAUUACGUAAUUAAUACAAUCACUUGCUCAGUGCCUUGAAAGCAUCUUUCAACUUUUGGAACAUGAUUGAGACAGCUCUGCUCAAAGGCCCUAAAUAUUAAGGCGUGAGACCAGAACACCAAAGGAGUAUUAUAAAUUCCACACCUACAAUUUUAUAAACGUUUUCUACAGCCAACACUUCUUCAGCAGUAGAGCAUAUGCAAAGAUACACCUGCCAUUCGAAAACAUAAUUCCACAUUAAUGCUUAACUAUUAGUUCACAUUGUUUCAUACAUAAAUUUAUUCUUGUCAUUGCACAUCCAAAGGUCAGAGAGCCUUUGGACAACCAAGUUUAAUGAGAUUUUUUUUGAAGAUCUAAUCACUAAGUAUAGUUUAAGUAUUAGUAUCUUUUUGGUUCAAUGGUACAUAGUUAAGGAUAUGCACAAAACUGAUGUAAAGGAAUAUGUAUCUAGGCUGAUCGUGAAAAUAUGUAACAUCCACCUGUACUGUGUUCUCUCUGCUCACUUUCUUGACCUUUGUAGACGUAGGUUCCUCCUAGUUCUCAACCUACCCCUGCCCUAAGUUAACCAGAGCUCAUUAUUUCUACUAUCUUUUUAUGCUACUAAAACAAUGCUCACGCUGUUGGAUAAAACCAUCUGAGCUUUAAGGAUAAGGAUGGCAAAACUGGGGAAAAAGGUAAUCUGAGCUGUAGUGCCCACCUGAGGAACCUUCGGAGAAGCAGCCAAGAAAUGCCUGAAAAUUUCUUUUCUGAAUACUUUUAUUUCUUUUUCCUAAAGUCCAAAUAUAUAUAUAUAUAUAUAAUUAUACCUAUAGUAAGCCACAUAAAUAAAUAGUAGUCAUUAUUUGUGGAAAAAAUGCCCCCCAAAGCUGGGGAAAACAAAUGCUAACUUUUCCAGUUACUUGACAUGACUCAGUGGGUCGGGAGAACCAGUAUAUUUUUAUUGUAUUGAUACCAAAGCAUUUCUAAUAAGAGCUUGUUAAAUUUAAGAAUAAAGUUAUUUAAAAUACUUUGACUAUCUUAA